rnacentral:rRNA from 1 species
UGGGGAAUUUUGGACAAUGGGCGAAAGCCUGAUCCAGCAAUGCCGCGUGUGUGAAGAAGGCCUUCGGGUUGUAAAGCACUUUUGUCCGGAAAGAAAUCCUUGGCUCUAAUACAGUCGGGGGAUGACGGUACCGGAAGAAUAAGCACCGGCUAACUACGUGCCAGCAGCCGCGGUAAUACGUAGGGUGCAAGCGUUAAUCGGAAUUACUGGGCGUAAAGCGUGCGCAGGCGGUUUGCUAAGACCGAUGUGAAAUCCCCGGGCUCAACCUGGGAACUGCGUUGGUGACUGGCAGGCUAGAGUAUGGCAGAGGGGGGUAGAAUUCCACGUGUAGCAGUGAAAUGCGUAGAGAUGUGGAGGAAUACCGAUGGCGAAGGCAGCCCCCUGGGCCAAUACUGACGCUCAUGCACGAAAGCGUGGGGAGCAAAACAGGAUUAGAUACCCUGGUAGUCCACGCCCUAAAACGAUGUCAACUAGUUGUUGGGGAUUCAUUUCCUUAGUAACGUAGCUAACGCGUGAAGUUGACCGCCUGGGGAGUACGGUCGCAAGAUUAAAACUCAAAUGAAUUGACGGGGUCAUAGCUGUUUCCU